rnacentral:rRNA from 1 species
CCUACGGGAGGCAGCAGUGAGGAAUAUUGGUCAAUGGGCUUACGCCUGAACCAGCCAAGUCGCGUGAGGGAAGACUGCCCUAUGGGUUGUAAACCUCUUUUGUCAGGGAGCAACGCCGGCUACGUGUAGCCGGACUGAGAGUACCUGAAGAAAAAGCAUCGGCUAACUCCGUGCCAGCAGCCGCGGUAAUACGGAGGAUGCGAGCGUUAUCCGGAUUUAUUGGGUUUAAAGGGAGCGUAGAUGGGUUGUUAAGUCAGUUGUGAAAGUUUGCGGCUCAACCGUAAAAUUGCAAUUGAUACUGGCAGCCUUGAGUACAGUUGAGGUAGGCGGAAUUCGUGGUGUAGCGGUGAAAUGCAUAGAUAUCACGCAGAACUCCGAUUGCGAAGGCAGCAUACCGGCGCCCGACUGACGCUGAAGCACGAAAGCGUGGGUAUCGAACAGGAUUAGAUACCCUUGUAGUC